GCAAAAUGGAACGCAAGCGAGCGACGUCGCGUUCUGCUACAAAAUCGCUAACAGUGUGACCAGAGUAAAACUCAACAACAGUUGCAAUAGACAGACAGACAGGGAGAGAGAAAGAGAGUGAGUUGCUCAGCAUUACCUUGUAUACGUUUGCUGUUGUUGUUGCUGCUGCUGCUGCUGGUGUUGGUGAUGGUGGCGCGUUUUUGUGUACGUUGCUUUUGGUUACCUGUCGUGUUGGCCACGUUUGUGACGAUCCGAUCAGUGCACCGUCAGCGAGCGGCGCGCGCAGUUUGUGGCUCCAGCAACAGUCGCACAGUCAUGGCAACAACAACAACAACAACAACAACAUCAGCUAUCGCCGAGAGCAAGAGAUAGCACAACAAAGUGUAAGAUAAACUGAUAAUACAAUAGAAACUAGAAAUGGCCAGAGAAACGUGGCGCACAAAAAAAAAUCAACAACAAAACAACACCGAACCUAAAAAACUAAAAAAAAAAAAACAACUAAAUAACUGAAAAGCAACAACAAAGAAAAUGCGCAACGUCAACGGCAAACGGCGCAGUGUCAAUAAAACUCUCGAAUUCAUUAACACGACACAAAACGUUCUAUUAGUAAGCACUUGCAAAUUUGUAUGAAAUGAAAUGGAGACGGAGACGCGCAGAAAGAGACUCGAGCCGAGACAAGCUACAAAUUAGCGUGGAGAGCCUAUCGAAUGGCGAAGAGGAGCAACGCAACAAUCGAACAGCGGUUGAAAGGUCUAAGCUAUCAAAUAGAGGGGAGCCAUGCAAAGAGAUAUACACUUAUUAUAAAGCCCAGACCCGGACGCGGACACAGACGCAAAUUCUUAAAUCUAAGGCCAUAAUAAUACAAACUCAACGCUGUCGUAUCCUUGGCUUCUAAAGGACAGAAAUGUGCCUGUACAGAAGAAGUUGACUGCAUCCUGUCAAUCAUGGAUCUGAUCUGCAUUUGCUCGUAGGCUAGCGCAUGCUUCCUGUUCGGUAAGUCGAUACCUGCCACUUGCGACAGGCAGAUUGAUGGUUGGUCAAAACAAAGAGAAUGCCAGCUCUUUGACAACGACACACACACAAGCACGCAUGCAAACACACACAACAACCAGUUGACCCUGACUGUAAAACGCAAACUAUAGGCCUGACCUUUGCCGGCUGGCGAGACUAAUUUAUCAAAUGGUUCCAGUGUGGCCUAUCGAACAGCCAAACUGGGCACACGAGACGCUGCAUAAUUAGGGGAAAAUGAGAAAAAAAAACACACAAAUGCGUUUUUAAACCAUUGAGCAACGCCUCAUUCUAACAGUUUUCUGUUAUUAGUUGGAUUCCAUUCGCUUUUUGCUCCCUCUGAAUAUUGUUUGAUUUUCGUUAAUUGCCGCUUAUUAUUCCUUGGGCCAUUUAAAGGUUGGCAACUCAAGUCCAUUCUAGCCUGUUUAAUGGUCUCACAAAACUAAAAUUCUAAUUAACAAAAUAUUUAAAAGCCGAAAAAAAAAACAGUUUGUAAAGACAAAAAACUAUUCUAGCCAUUGUUUGGACAUCGAAGCAAUUAAUCAUAAAAACAGGCUCAGUCUCAGAAUGUGAAGAAUCUCUACACUUGAGCUGCUCACAAAGCCUAUUCUUUGUGUUACUUUUUUGGAAUGCCCACAGUGCCAAGUUCUAGAACUGCUUUCAUCACACACAACUAAUUUUCCGUUUACCUGCAGUUGAAUCAGCUUUUUGAACAAUUUUUCGACACUUAAAUUAAGUAAUAAAUCAUUUUGCUUGCAGAUAUAUCAAAGAGCCCGCUGAAAAAUCAAUCAAAUAAUUAAUGCUCUUAAAGAAAUUAUGAUGAAAUUAAGUACAGGUGACAAACAUAAAAUAUCACUGAUCAGUCGCUAUAGCUCCAGAGAUUACAGAGAAAGGAAGAGAGAGAGAGAGGCAUGUCUAUAUGUAUGUAUUUAGUUUUUUCAGCAGAAAUGCUAACAAGUUUAGAGUUGAAAGUGGCGUCGUGGCCGGGGCCAGAUAUCGCAUGUGAUUGAAAUGAAAUAUAAAAUUACAUUAAAUUACCGGAUGUAAUUGCGGUGGUCGUGCCAGUCGCUCAACUCGCUCAGUAGCAACGGCAAGGCUAGCUCUUACACUGGCCAAUGAAUCAUGGCCAAAACGAAAUGCGUCGCAAUUGUUGCCAGAGUAGUCAGGCAGGGGCAAAACAAAAAUAAAAAAAAAAAGACUCUGCCAACAAACUUGAAGCGUUCGGUGUGGGCGCCCGCUCUCAUGACCAAAAGAAGGAAGCCCACGCUACAUUAAGAAAAAAUGUUUUAAACGAGGGUCCAAGUCAACGACUCGAUUCGAGUAUCUUAUCAGAAGCAAACGAUUUUGUCAAAUGACAACUGCGGCACAUUAAAUGCGUCUUUUUCACGCCACACGACAUUUUCAAUGCGCAUUUAGUUGUCAAUUAUUUUUGAUAGCCAGCCGAAUGCAUUUGGCAUGAUAAAAGCACAUGCAAGCCAGGCUUAGCAAGCCAAGCCAACCACAUCAUCUGCCGCAUAGUUGCAAGACUCGAGUUAGUUGUUUGUUAAGUGGAAACCAUUUGCAUACUGAGCGCUUGUUUGUCUUGGCUUUGAGCUUGAGAUAUGGCCAAGGAGAUUAGGUAUUGGCACAUUUUCAAUAGCACACAGACAACAGGCGUAACAGAUCCUGGGCACUGACACAAAUCGAAUUGAAAUUUGUUGCUGUUAGUUAGUUAAUUUAUGGCAGAGAGAUAGGCUCAUAUUCAUCUUUUGAAAAAGUUCCAUCACGAAUCCGCAAUUGCCAUUUGGUAAGAAAUACUAUAAAUAUAAUAUCUGAAACAUUUGAAGAGUUACAGAAAUGUCCCGAAGCUCUUUUUUGUUGUAGGUCUCAUAUUUGGUUAAUAAUUUUUCAUAUAGCUAACAAUUGACAACAACACCAACUAAUGUGAAUUUAAAGUAAUAUUUCUCUUUGAAAACUUUUUUAAUUUUGCAUUAGAAAAAUGCGUUAUCUCUGAGUAUAAUAUAUCAUUUUUGAAGAAUACAAAUUAACCUUGCUGCCUUAGUCAAACUAGAAAUUUGAUCCUACUUUUUUGUAAGUCACAGCGACUUUUUUUUAUUACCUUUCAAAGAUAUUUUUUGCUCAUGCUUUAUGUUGCCCAAUCAAGUAAAUGCCUAGCAGCUGACCUAUAUUAAAUAUGUACUCAAUUUUCUCAUGUUCAUAUUGUUACGCAGGCAACAAUUUUCGUUGAAAACAAUUUGCGCAACAAAUGAAAAAAAAAAAAAUAAAAAAUAACAGAAAAAAAUGAAGCAACAGCAGAAAAUACAAAAAAUAUAAAUAUUGCUGUGCAUAUGCCACGCACGUAGCAACAACAUCAACGACUGUGCAACAACAAUCAGACAAUCAUGCACAUAAUCAUGCCAUCAAUAUAUGGCAAUUAUCAAUGAAAUUUAUAACAAUCCACGAAAUGUAACGAAAACAUAACCGACCAAUAAAAAUUUCAUUUUCAUAAGGCUG